GAGAGAGACAUGCGCGCAUAUCAAUAAGCGGAGGAAAAGAAACUAACAAGGAUUCCCUUAGUAACGGCGAGUGAAGCGGGAAGAGCUCAAACUUGAAAUCUUCAAGGGUUUACCUUUACGAAUUGUAGUUUAAAGAAGUGUUUUCUGUUGAGGUUUUCGGUAAAAGUUCUUUGGAAUAGGACAUCAUAGAGGGUGAGAAUCCCGUAUUUGACCUUUACUUUCAACUUUGUGAUACACUUUCAAAGAGUCGGAUUGUUUGGGAAUGCAGUCCAAAAUGGGUGGUAAAUUUCAUCUAAAGCUAAAUAUUGGCGAGAGACCGAUAGCGAACAAGUACCGUGAGGGAAAGAUGAAAAGAACUUUGAAAAGAGAGUUAAACAGUACGUGAAAUUGUCAAAAGGGAAGCGUUUGACACCAGUGUUGUUUUCUCGAAAAUCAAUUAAAAAUGGCUGGAUUUUGUGUUGUAUUGACCUAUAUAAGCUUUCUGCACUUUUUCAUGUCUUUUUUAAUGCACUUUUCGUUUAACAAGUCAACAUCAGUUUCUUUUGUUGUAAAAAGGUCAUUGGAAGGUGACUUUCUUUUCGGAGAAAGUGUUUAUAGCCUUUGACUUCUGCAAUCGGAGAGACUGAGGUCUGCAGUGUAGAUCCUUCUGGAUUAGAUUCAUUUGUGCUAAGUUACAACCGUUUAUAGACAACUUGUUGACUAUAUUCGAUCCUGUAGCUUACUCGCUUAUGUAAUUUUACCUACGCUUAGGAUGUUGAGCGCAUGUCUCUCUCU
rnacentral:rRNA from 1 species